rnacentral:tRNA from 1 species
CCCUGGUUAGCUCAGUAGAGCGCUCCACUGGAAAUGGAGAGGUCCCGGGUUCGAUACCCGGACCAGGCA